rnacentral:rRNA from 1 species
UACGGGGGGGGCAAGCGUUGUUCGGAAUUACUGGGCGUAAAGGGUCUGUAGGUGGCUCGCUAAGUCAGACGUGAAAUCCCUCAGCUUAACUGGGGAACUGCGUCUGAGACUGGCAAGCUUGAGUGCAGGAGAGGAACGCGGAAUUCCAGGUGUAGCGGUGAAAUGCGUAGAUAUCUGGAGGAACACCGGUGGCGAAGGCGGCCAACUGGACGAGUACUGACGCUGAGACACGAAAGCGUGGGGAGCAAACAGG